rnacentral:rRNA from 1 species
AGUCACUGACAUUAGAUACCCGCGUAGUCCCAGCCGUAAACUAUGCGCGUUAGGUGUAUCGGUGACCACGAGUUACCGAGGUGCCGAGGGAAACCGUGAAACGUGCCGCCUGGGAAGUACGGUCGCAAGGCUGAAACUUAAAGGAAUUGCGGGGAGCACCACAACAGGUGGAGCCUGCGGUUUAAUUGGACUCAACGCCGGGAAGCUCACCGGAUAGGACAGCAGAAUGAUUGCCGGGCUGAAGACUCUGCAUUGACUAGCUG